GAUGAACGCUAGCGGCAGGCUUAACACAUGCAAGUCGAGGGGUAGAGGUUGCUUGCAACCUUGAGACCGGCGCACGGGUGCGUAACGCGUAUGCAACCUACCUUUUACAGAGGGAUAGCCCAGAGAAAUUUGGAUUAAUACCUCAUAGUAUAUAACCUUCGCAUGUUGGUUAUAUUAAAGUUCCAACGGUAAAAGAUGGGCAUGCGUCCUAUUAGCUAGAUGGUAAGGUAACGGCUUACCAUGGCAACGAUAGGUAGGGGUCCUGAGAGGGCAAUCCCCCACACUGGUACUGAGACACGGACCAGACUCCUCCGGGAGGCAGCAGUGAGGAAUAUUGGACAAUGGGCGCAUGCCUGAUCCAGCCAUGCCGCGUGCAGGAAGAAGCAUCUAUGGUGUGUAAACUGCUUUUGUACAGGAAGAAACACCCCGACGUGUCGGGGCUUGACGGUACUGUAAGAAUAAGGAUCGGCUAACUCCGUGCCAGCCGCCGCGGUAA
rnacentral:rRNA from 1 species